GAUGAAGAACGUAGCGAAAUGCGAUAAGUAAUGUGAAUUGCAGAAUUCAGUGAAUCAUCGAAUCUUUGAACGCACAUUGCGCCCCUUGGUAUUCCGGGGGGCAUGCCUGUUCGAGCGUCAUUUCAACCCUCAAGCUCUGCUUGGUAUUGGGCACCGUCCUUUGCGGGCGCGCCUCAAAGACCUCGGCGGUGGCGUCUUGCCUCAAGCGUAGUAGAAUACACCUCGCUUCGGAGCGUGAGGCGUCGCCCGCCGGACGAACCUUCUGAACUUUUCUCAAGGUUGACCUCGGAUCAGGUAGGGAUACCCGCUGAACUUAAGCAUAUCAAUAAGCGGAGGA
rnacentral:misc_RNA from 1 species